UAUUGCUAAGUGAAAAAAUGCAAUUUGAACCUACCUUCUUUUGCCCAUGGAGAUAGUGCUUGUACUCACCAGUAAUUUCUCAGGAUCAGUGUUUGAAUGUGCAGGUACCUAGGAGGACUCCAGUAGGGCCAAAUCCUUUGGGAAAGGUUUGUUGGGAAGAGUGGCUUUGAGUACAAAACAACUUUAUGAUUUCGCAUGGAAAAUGGGCCGUGUCCUCCACCCUCUGAUGCAAAGAGCAAAUUAUCGGCACUUAACAAGCCGUUGUCAUGUAUACAUAGGUGGUGGUGAAUCUUGUUUCUGGGAAGACUUUUGUAACCGUUACCUCUGGAAAAUCUGAAAUGAUGACACCAAACAUGUUACUCGCCAAACUGACCUCUUCCACCCUGAGAGGCAGUGAGCAAGUUCAGUGUCAAGGACUGAGCUCUGCUUCUUCCCUUCUGCCUCUGAAACCUACUAAGUCUGUAGGCUAGACCCUAAAUGGUUUAUGACAAACACAAUAAGCACUCACAUAGAAUGCGAAUGUCUCAUAGGGAAGAACAAGAGCAGUUGUGAUGGUAAGAAAAUAACUUUUAAAAUGAGAGUAUUUCAGGUGUGUACAUAUUGUUGUUAGUUACCUGUGCAUUUCCAGUCAGUAAUGAAUUGAAGGAGGGAACAUACCCACACUAACCAACCUUAGCAUCGGUAGGCCCCGUGUGUAAGAUAGCAGAGUCACUGUCUGGGAGUUCCUGAAUAAUCACUGUCUCUAAAUUUCUAAAACGUUCACAGAGCAAUCUGAUUAAAUGCCCUUGAGUGGGGUUGAUUCUGGUGCUGAAUUUAGUCUGUUGACUACCAAAGCAAAAUAAUUUUCCUGCACAUGCCCAGGUGGGAAAUUUCAGCCUCUGAAUAAAUGGUUAUAAAAUGAUGUAGCUGCUUCUGAGAAGUGCUUAUAUCUAGUUUGAUUUCACUGGUGGUCAAUGUUCUGAUACUAUUAAAUAUAAAUAUAUAUUAUUGGAAAGAGGUGUAAAACUUUCCUUAUUAUAAUUCUAAGUUAAAAAAAAACAAAUGCUUGCCAGGCUUUCAGAUGUUCUUCAAGAUUUUUCAAGGUCUUCUCACCAGGCAGUUAAUUGUUAACUUUGUUUCAUAUCAUGAAUUCUUUCAAAAGCUCUAAAUCGAUAUGUAUUGUAGUGUUCUGUGCAGCUGUUACUCAAUAUCAUCUCUGUGUCCCCUUUCCUUGGGCUCGCCUUGCUGUCUAGAGGCAUUGAGUAUAGUUUGCUUGUUUAACAGGGUAUACAGAAUACAUGCAUUCUGGAAGGUUAUCUAUCAAAUCCUAUUUUUCUGUAGACUUUAACCUCUUAUAUCAGAAUGAUGACUGAUUCUGCUGGCCAGUUCUGGUAAUAGUUCAAAGUAGUCCAAAGAUCUUUGACAGGUAUUGUUGGGAGAUAGUCAAGGACCUCGGUGUUUGACUUUUUUAAAAAACCUUAUUAAAACGUCCUGUAUUCUGAUUCCUUACUCCUUAUUCCCAUCAGACCACUGUCUGAGAGAAACCUCAUAACCUGACCACCAACAUGGAAUGGAUUGUUUUGGACUGUAACAAUGGUCAGGUAGGGUCUAAGAGGAACUAGUAUGCCUUCAUAUGUAAGUCUUUACCUUCUAACUGCAUACAUGGUUAGUAAAAGGUUGUGUAAAAUAUUCAAAUUUUUCUUUUAGAUCUAUUUUAAUAUGUGUUAUACAUCAUAAGGGUUUAGCAAUAUUAACAUGCCAUUCUACAUUUUUCUUCUUAACAUAUAAUUAUAUAAAGCAACAAAUAUUUAGUGGACAUUAAUAUAUGCCAGAUAGCAUUUCAGUUAAGAAAGCUUAAGAGGUAAAUCUAAAACCAGAAUAUUUCUUACAGAGAAUAUCAGGAUGACAGCUGAUUUUGUGUGUGUAAAGUGGUAUAUCCUCUCUGGGCUUUAAAUUAUACCCAGAGGUGGUGGUAGUCAAGUAUAAUAAAGACCAAAAAGAGGAAAAUUUGGAAACAUAAAAAAUAAGACAUAAUAGGAAAGUAUUUUUGAAGAAAAUUAAGGCAACUCCAGAUU